GCCAGCCGCCAUAUCACUCUGCAGCUCUUUACUGGCUACUCACUGUAGCACAGUGGGAAUGAGCCUGGUCAGUACCUGGAUGGGUGACUUCCUAGGAAGCUAUGGUUGCUGCUGGAA
rnacentral:rRNA from 1 species